GGAGUUUGGACCGUCUCUCAGUUCCAAUGUGGCCGAUCACCCUCUCAGGUCGGCUACCGAUCGUCGCUUUGGUGGGCCGUUACCCCGCCAACUGGCUAAUCGGACGCGAGCCCACCCCAAACCGGAUUGCUCCUUUUACCCCAGAACCAUGUGAUCCCGUGGUCUUAUGCGGUAUUAGCACCUGUUUCCAAGUGUUAUCCCCCUGUCUGGGACAGGUUGCUCACGCGUUACUCACCCGUCCGCCACUAGAAUAUAUCCGAUUCCUGCCGAAGCUCUCAUCAAACAUAUCCCCGUUCGACUUGCAUGUGUUAAGCACGCCGCCAGCGUGUCCUCGAGCCACGGAUCAAACUACU
rnacentral:rRNA from 1 species